rnacentral:snRNA from 1 species
AUACUUACUUGGCACAGGAGAUACCGUGAUCACGAAGGCGGUUUUCCCAGGGCGAGGCUCACCAUUGCACUCCGGUGAUGCUGACUGACCCUUGCGAUUAACCCAAAUGUGGUUAACUCGGGUGUGUAAUUUUUGUUAGCGGGGGACUGCGUUCGCGCUAUCCCCCU